UACGUAGGGUGCAAGCGUUGUCCGGAAUUAUUGGGCGUAAAGAGCUCGUAGGCGGUUUGUCGCGUCUGCUGUGAAAACUGGAGGCUCAACCUCCAGCCUGCAGUGGGUACGGGCAAACUAGAGUGCGGUAGGGGAGAUUGGAAUUCCUGGUGUAGCGGUGGAAUGCGCAGAUAUCAGGAGGAACACCGGUGGCGAAGGCGGGUCUCUGGGCAGUAACUGACGCUGAGGAGCGAAAGCGUGGGGAGCGAACAGG
rnacentral:rRNA from 1 species